rnacentral:misc_RNA from 1 species
UAAUAAGUGUUUUAUGGCACUUUUUAAAUCCAUAUCCACCUUGUGUGCAAUGUCAGUCGAUCUUCUUCAUGGAGAUCGACCAAACAUCAACCUUUAUUUUUUAGCUCUUCGUCUGAAAAAUAUUAUGAAUAAACAAUUCAAAAUA